UUUUAUUAACCAGUAUGGUAAUUAGGAUAAAUAAAUACUGCAUUCACAAAGAUUUCACAAGCAGAUCUCACUAUAUAAAAGAGAUCAGAUAAAACUAAUGGCACCAUCUGGAGUAUCUAUGCAUGACUAAUCUUCUCAUGGGGCAUUCUGGGAUUGACCAGAGUGUUUCAUGUGAUUUUUUUAGGGAGAAUCUGAGUAUUAUACAUUUCAAAACAAGCAGUCUAGAAAGACAUUUCAACUGUGAAUAUCUUUCAAAACAUAUUAUGAUUUUCAAAUUCUUCAUUCAUUUAUCAUUUGAUAUAUUUAUACCUUCAAUAAAUGUAUAAAUAAAAUAAUGGGUGCUUUGAUUUUUUUGGAUUAUCCCUGUUUCACAUUAUGAUAGAACAGUCCAGUUAUUUGUUUGAAAAUUUGAAAUCUCAGACAUUUGGGUUACAGAAAAAGUGGAAACCAUAAAGGAUCUAUUUAGUAUUUUAGCAUUUUGGAGAUAUUAUCUUGUUUUAAAUGUUAGGGAGCAUAUUUUGGAAUUUUCAAAGAAAACAUUUAUCUAAGUGUGACAAGAUUCAGGAAGUGUUUUGUUGUUGUAAUUGAACCUGAAGAUCAAUGACCUGAGGCAAGAAGAUAUUCAGAAGAAUCAUAGUAGAAUUAGUUUCAGAGUCACCCUUGAAAGCAAGGUUGCAGGUGUUCCAAUUAAACUACAGCAAGGUAGCAAUGCAGCUUUUCUUUACCUUAUAUAUAAUAUAAAGCAGAGGAAUAUGGCACCUGCAAAAUCAGGGGAAAAGAAGCCAGCAAUAGACCAGGAAAAGUUUCAAGGAAUAUACAUAUUUGUAUCCAAACACUACCCUCAUGUGACCCCUGUGAUGGUGAGAGAGAAACUUAGAGACAUUUUGAAGCCAUGUUGUGUCAAGCAAAAUUCAAAGAAAUGAAGAAAUAAAUGUCAAACAAUUUACCUCAUUAAAACUCUUGAUUUCAAAGUAA